UCCUACGGGAGGCAGCAGUGAGGAAUAUUGGUCAAUGGCCGAGAGGCUGAACCAGCCAAGUCGCGUGAGGGAAGACGGUCCUAUGGAUUGUAAACCUCUUUAGGCGGGGAGCAAUGCCGGGCACGCGUGUCCGGAGGGAGAGUACCCGCAGAAUAAGCAUCGGCUAACUCCGUGCCAGCAGCCGCGGUAAUACGGAGGAUGCGAGCGUUAUCCGGAUUUAUUGGGUGUAAAGGGUGCGUAGGCGGAUUUUUAAGUCAGCGGUAAAAUGUCCGGGCUCAACCCGGGCCGGCCGUUGAAAACGGGGG
rnacentral:rRNA from 1 species